AAUCUCGGUAAAUAACACAAGUAUGUGUGGAUCUUGUAUUUUUUUUUUAUAUCUUGUAAAAAUCGGUGGCGUCUUUGAUGUUGACGGAAUAGCAUUCGCACAAAUACAGAUUAAAAUUCAUAUAAACUUGAUCAUUUAAAACGACAAAAGAAUGUACAAUAAGUCUGUUUUAGCGAUCGCAUUUUUUUUAUAAUUUUGUGUACUUACGACAAUAAUAUCAAAUACUUUUUUUAAUAAAUAAGAGCAAACUGACAAUUUUUAUUAGCGCUAAUUAUUGCACUGCCUGGGUUCCCAUAUUUAUUCGAUUAUGUCAAGUAUUCUUGUUGACACAAUCAAGUCAUAGUAGACUACAACGAUCAAGUACGUAUAUGCGACAUUUGUGACAGUAAAUUGAGGACAUAUAAUCGAGUUUUCUUUCAAGUGUCUUAUAUAUUGUAAACGGAUUUAAUAUGUCACUAACCUGAUUAUCUGUCUGUAUAUACACCCAUUUCACGAAAUAUCGGCCGGAACAGAGCCAACGCAUGUUUGUAAUACAUAAAACAAAGACUUGGUAAGAAGUAUUUGUUGGGAUAAAAGUUCGUGGGAUCUUAAAUUCGUGGAUUGACCUACCCACGAAAACCACGAAAAUUCGUGACCCACGAAUAAUAAUGAUUUUACAGUAAGUCUAACUGUUGCUGUAUAAAUUAAGAUUAAAUUGUUACUGUUUCUAUAUAAAUUCAGACUCACUGAUUACUGUUUCUGUUUAAAUUCAGCCUAAAUGAUAACUGUAAAGAUUCAGACUAAGUAAUUACUGUUUUAAGUAGAAAGUCAGUCUAGAUGAAUUUCUGUAUAAAUUCAGACUAAGUAAUUACUGUUUUUCUAUAUGAUUUCUGUAUAAAUUCAGACUAACCAGUUACUGUUUUUGUAUAAAUUUAGCUUAUCAAUUAUUGUAUCUGUAUAAAUUGGUUCUUAAUGAUCACUGAUUCUAUAUAAAUUCAGACCAACAGGUUACUGUUUUCUGAUAAAUACAGUAUAAGGGAUUACUGUUUCCAUAUAAAUUCAGGCUGAAGACUGUUACUCUAUAAAUCUGUCUAAACAAUUAUUGUUUUUGUAUAAAUUCAGACUGAAUUGUUUCUGUGUCUAAGCUAUUACAUGUAUAUUAAUUCUGGUCAUAUACAUUGUAGGUUAUUUAUUCUAUCUUUACAAGUCAUGUAAAGUGGUGAUAUAAGGAAAUUUGUUAUGUACCACUGAUUUCAUCAAUUCUGAGCAGACAUUUACUUAUUCUGGGUCAGAUCUAUUUAUAGAUUAUUUAUUACACAGUAAUUAUUAUUUUACACAGAUUAAAAACAUUUAUUUUGAACAUUUUGUACAAGAUGUGAUGUGUUCCAUAAUAAUUUCAUAAACAUUUAAUUGCAAAUAUUUGUUGAAGAACAAAGUGAAAAGUUGCAAUCUACAACUGUCAUGUUAUGGUUUUAAGAGAGAUAGAUUACAAAGUAUUUGGUGAUAUUCCAUUGAGAUUUUAUAGGAUGGCAUUAUAGUGUUUAGGGAAAAAUAGAUAGUUACUGAUUUGCUUUAUAUAUGUGCAUGAAAUUAUGCUUCUGUAAUAAAUACCAAUAUGUUUAGUGACCAUUUUUGGAAGUUUUGAGGUCAAAGGUCAGUAUAAUAUAUAUAUAUUUAAAUUGAGAGAAUCUUCUCAUAUUCAGUGAAUUUAUAUUAAAAUGCAUAGAAGGUAAUGAAAAUCAGGUAUUUAAUUAGUGAAAAUAUUGAGGAAAAAAUGUUACAAAGUUUCAAUAAAAAAACUCAUAAGACUCGCAAAAUGUGCUCACAUACAUGUGAUAGCUGUGUUCACAUACAUGUUAUUGCUGUGUUCACAUACAUUUAAUUGCAAGUACAGAUUUUGUUUCUUUGCUAUAUAGCAGUAUAUGAAUAUGUAAUGUUAAAUUCAAUUUCUACUGUUAAAGCAACUAACCUCCAGUUUUGUGCAGAUUUUUUUUGUGUUGAAAAUUUAGAAAGUAUUUAGAUAAAAGAAAAUAGUUGUCUUCAUAUCUUGCAGCAACACAUGAAUUUUAGAUAUGUAUAAUCAUAUCUUUUAAUCAUAUUAUGCAUUUCUUGAAAAAAUUGUUGAUUCUUCUGGUGGUUUGCUGCUCUAAUGUAAUGUAAUUUUUAUGUCUAAAAACAUUCCAUUUUAGUCCUGUAAAAAUCAAAGUUUCUUUUUUACUGUUUGUUUAUCUACUACCAGUAUUUUAGAUUAAACCACUUACUGGUCAUGUGUUUUAAUCUUUGUUUUUUGUAUUAUGACUUGUGAAACUAGGUCAUGUGCUGACCUUUGUGAUUAAAGGUCAUAUGCUGACCUUUGUAAUACAAGGUCAUAUGCUCACCUUUAUGUUAUGAGGUCAUAUGCAUUUAAAUUAAAAGUCAUAAUCACAAUCCCAUAAAUCUGUAGGUUUCUAUAAUUCCACUGAUAAUUGAUUUACACACAUCGGAAUUUGGAAUAGUUAAGUGAAACAUAUGACCUUUAAUCACAAAGGUCACACCUCAUCACAAAGGUCACACUUUAACAUAAGGGUCACCAUGAAAUGCUGUAUGUUGGAAAAGGGGAGAGGAGUCUGUAUCUUGUUGAAAGAGAACUGACCCUUGAAAUUCUGUCAGCAUCUUCAACAGAUCUAUGACUUCACUUGAAACUAUUAGGCUUCUCAGUUAUAGUAGUUUGAUGCAGAAGUCCCUGGAGUUAUUUGUGGACAGUUCUGAAUAUCCAUUUAACAAAUUCAGAAAUUUUAGAUGAUGCAAAAAAUUGGAUUGGAAAAUUAUUUUUCAGAAAUUUGUUCACAAUGUAAAUUUCUGUCUCAAUCAUUAAUUGGAUAUUGAUUAACUAUAAUUUAAAAUAAAAGCUAUCUAGUAAAUAAGAUUAUAUUGUUCAUAAGCAUAUCGUAAUAUACUCACUAUAAGUCAGAUAUAAAUAGUAAAUUAUUGUUAAUACAUGUAUAUAGGUGUUAGUGUAGGAAUGACAUUUAGAGAUAGAUGCUUUAAAUAUAAGUCUUAUAUCUUAGAAACCAUACUAUGUAAAAAUUUUGUCAAAUGUUGUUACUAAAUUAUCCGACAGAGUUUUCAAAAAAGCUUUUUAAUCUUCUUUCACAAUCCUUAAAAUUUAUUUUAUGUACAUGUACUUUAUUAUAUAAAUGAAAAGAUUACAAAUAAAAAGAAUUUAUCUAAAUACUAGGUUCCCAUAUUGGCUGUAUAAGCUUGAACAUGCUACUGAGUACAUAGUCAGCACAAACCUGGGCCCCGGGCUUCACUUUGUGACAGUCUGACCAGACCAUACUGGUACAGAAUUUCAGGCAUUUGCCUGAAGUUUAGGUAUUUUCUACUCCUGAAAUAUCUUUUUUUUAUAUAUAAAACCAAUUGAAAUAAUCUUAAUUCAGGGUUUUCAGGUAUUUUUUAACUUGCACCCAUGAAUUAUUUUGGUUGUUGACCUUAGUGUAACAUAUACUAAAAUUGGUCAAAGCAAGUCAAGGAUUUUAUAAUAGAGUGAGUAAAUGUUAACAUUAUAUAUGUAUAUUGUGUGAAAAUAUUGUAGAUUAUAAAUGUUAACCUAUAUUGUGAUAUGAUCAAACAUUGUGGUUGUCUUUUCUCUAUUAUAACAAAUUAUAUGUAAGGAGAUUGUUGUUGUUAUUAUUAUACCAAGAAAUGUUAUAUGGCAAUAGUGAUAUAUUAAUUUCAUUUAAAUAUAUGUUUUAUAUAUUCGAUUCUGAUAUAAAUAUAUACAGAGCAUAUGUAGUUUGAAUGGACUUAAUAUAUAUAAAUAUGCUUUUUCAAUUCUAUAUAUUCUAAGAUUAUUGUACUUAUUUAGUAUAGGGAUGUGUCUUGUUGGGCACACAUUAUUUAAACUCACUAGCUUAAAGAGAUGUGACAACAUUCCUUGUGACAUUACAUACAUGUGACAUGUGAUAAAUGAUUUUUGAUGUGACACGUAUAUUUGUGACAACACAAUUGAUUAUAUGACCUGUUAAACACAUAGUGUAAUGUUACUGUUUGUAACAACACAAGAGUAUGUGACAUAAUAAUUGUAAUGUGUUGUGUAACACUGCAUAUGGCAUAACAUAUGUGUGACAUAUUCAUUCAUGUGUGACAUCACUCUCUGUGACAUGAACAACAUGCAUGUGAUAUCUUCAUUUGCUAUGGUAUGAUAAGCACAAAGCAAAAAAAGUAAGAAGAAAGUUCAAUUGCCAAUAGAAUUAUGAACUCUUUGAUUUGUACCCAGUAAUUGAACCAAAAUACAUUAUGAUAAAUUAAUGGAAUCAGUCUUGUAGUGCUACCAUGCCAUUGGUUAAUUUAACAAUUGUAGUUUCAGGCAGCCAAUCAGAAGCUAGUGUUUUUUGACUGGUCUUCAAAUAUUUCUUUUUCUACUACACCUUACUAUUUGCUUGUUGUUAUAUAUGGUACAAAUUGAGUGUACAAAUUGAGUAUUUAAAAAAAGUUCUUAUUCUUAGAAAUAUCAAAGUAUGGAAAUACUUGAUAAUAAUAAAUCAGUGAACAAGAAUGAAAAAGUACAUAUAUAUAUUUUACUCACAUUAUUCAGGAGUUUGCUGCACUUUGCAUUAUGUUUGUUAUUGAAAUUUUUAUAGUUACUAAAUCAUGUAAAAUAAGGACUUUUUUUUUAAUCAGAUUAAAAGUAGAGUCAAAUGUAUCUGUCUCUAUGUUUCUCUCCAAAAUUAUAUACACAUGUAUAUAUAUGGGUAGUCUUUUUAUUUUUGUACAUGUACUUUUAUACUUGGCUCAGAUAGUCUGUAAAAUAAAGGAUAAGUUUUAGUGUUGGAGCUAUUUUCAUAAGAACUCAAAACCAGUUUUUAAGGCAAUAGGACUUUGUAUUGAUAUAGACAUGAACUGUACAAAAAUGAUUAUCAUUAGAUCUUGUUGUAAUAUGUUAUUUAAAAACUCUGUUGGAUCAUUAAUGUGAAAUUUUUAAUCAAUGAUGUAUAUUACACUUCUUUGAACUUUAGUGAAAUCUACUGUUGAACGAAGUGUAAUCUUCUCUUGAACUUUGUGAAAUUUAGUAUUUAACUUAAUAAAAUCUAUUUUGAACUUAGUGAAAUCUACUGUUGAACUUAGUGAAAUCUACUAUUAAAUUAGUGAAAUCUACUCUUUAACUUGGUGAAAUCUACUAUAAACUUAGUGAAAUCUACUCAUAAACUUAGUGAAAUCUACUCUUGAACUUAGUGAAAUCUACUCUUGAACUUAGUGAAAUCUCUUCUUGAACUUAGUGAAAUCUACUCUUGAACUUAGUGAAAUCUACUAUAAACUUAGUGAAAUCUACUCUUGAACUUAGUGAAAUCUACUCUUGAACUUAGUGAAAUCUACUCUUGAACUUAGUGAAAUCUACUAUAAACUUAGUGAAAUCUACUCUUUAACUAAGUGAAAUCUACUCUUGAACUUAGUGAAAUCUACUAUAAACUUAGUGAAAUCUACUCUUGAACUUAGUGAAAUCUACUCUUGAACUUAGUGAAAUCUACUCUUGAACUUAGUGAAAUCUACUAUAAACUUAGUGAAAUCUACUCUUUAACUAAGUGAAAUCUUCUCUUGAACUUAGUGAAAUUAUUUAAUAUGGUAUUCAUUUAUACACUGUUAACAGUUUCACAUGGGCAACAUAUCUUGUGGUAGCUUAAUAGGGUAGCUGUAUGGACAUUAUUUGUUUAAUGACAGAUUUUAUAUCUCUUGCAUAGCAGACUGGCGUUUCCUAGUACAAUGUACUCGGAAUCAUGCAAUAAACAGACUUAAUUAUGGGAAUCUUUAAUCUGCGGAAAUUGAAAUAUUUUACUAGCCAUUGUGCUGCAGUCUGCCUUCACACAGUAAUCCUGAAAAGUUGCCAUGUGAUCAUAACCUUUAACCUGCUUAAAAUGGAUUUUCAUCUUGAUAUCCCUAUAGUUGAUAAUGGACAGUUCCAAAAUUGGAAGCUGAAUAGGUCUAUUUUUAGAAAUUCAGUUGGUUAAUGUAUCAAAGAGCUGGAUAGAAAAGGAAAUUAAAUCAGAAACUGGUCUCUGACUUUGUCAAGCUUGUGAUUGGUUAGUUUAGAAAAACAUAUUUGAACAAAUUGACCAAUGACAAGAGUCUGGUUUCAGUUUUAGAACUCUCAAACUGUUUUCAUGGGGUUCAGAUUAUUAAAAUUUCAAGAUAGUGCCGAAAAGGAACAAUAUAUCGCCCAUUUUUACAUUUACAUGUUGUAUUGUGUAAAAUGACAGGAUUUUUAAAGAUAUGAAAUUCUGUAUUUAUCUUAAUUAUUUUGUUUCUUGCAUUAUUUUGUUUACUUUAAUGGCUUUUUGUGUAAAAGAUUUUUCCUACUUUCAGUUUAAGAUUUUAUAAAUGCCUUUGUCAGGUUGUUGAGUUUUCUAUUCACUGAAAAAUGGUUCCAUUUUGUUUAUUAGUGAGAGAUUUUUGGCAUUCAAUCACUUUACCGAAGCUGAAUGCAAGGCCAUUUUAGUUUGUGAUAAUUGUUGGCAGUUAUAUAAAAGAAACACUUUUUGUUUUGAUGGUUAUUUCUUAUUUCAUCAUGAUUAUCACAAUUAUAAUUGUUACCUACUUCUUUAAUAUAAUAAUACUAUAAUUAUCAUAAAUGGUCACUGGAUUUGGUUUUUGGCUUACUUUGGGCCCCAUCGCAAUUUUAUUUAUAUUUUUCUUUAUUGGUUGUUAUUUCCCAAAACAAGCUCUGUCAUGGCAAUAGAUCCUUGUUAUUUUGUUUUUGCUUCAAUUUAUUAUUUUCUUUAAAGCUGCAUGCCUCCAGAUGAGCAAAAAUAUUUCAAUGAAAACAACUUGAGAAAAAUGCAAGAAAUAAUAUACUUGUUCUGUGCAAUUAAUGAAUCAAUUGAUUUUGAAGUAUUGAUCACCUUAUUUCUAUUGCAUUAAGGGCUAUUUUUGCAUAUUUGGAUCUUUGUGGAUUGUAAGUGCUAUUUGCAAUAUGCAAAUUACAUUGUACUUUCUUUUUUCACAUGACAAUAUUUAACUUUAAAAACACAUUUUAAUAUUUUACUUAAAAUACAUUUUAAAUUAUUUCAUGAAAAUUAGCAUGAAUCUGGAGGCAUGCUCCUUAAGGACUUUUUACAUUUAGCAAGGUAUGUAGUUUGUAUGGCAAUAUAUAUAAGGACCAGAAAAACCUUACCAUUUGUAUCAUGUAAAAUUAUCACCCUUUAGUCACUUUUAACCAUAUUUUAUCAGAAAUAAAUAAUGGAUUAACUUAAUAAGCAUGUAUUGAUUCUGAUGAUAUUAUCAUUUUAUUUAUGUUUUUAUUUAUGUUUUGCUCAUAGAAUGAAUUUGUUAAAUUAUGAUUGAUUUUUGUGUACUGAUUUUUGCCAUAAAAUAAUGAAAUUUUGUAUAUUUAAGAAUCCUGUGAAUAUAUUGUUUUUAUUUAUUCCAUUUUAAAAUUGUUAAAAAUAAUACAAAUAUACUAAAUGUGACACUUAAUAAAAAAUAUAAAAAUGUU